GUCAUCGAGUCCAACCAUUGCCAACGAGUCACCAGGGUUGGAAGAGACCUCAAAGGUCAUCGAGUCCAACCAUUGCCAACGAGUCACCAGGGUUGGAAGAGACCUCAAAGGUCAUCAAGGCCAACCAUUGUCACUGAGUCACCAGGGUUGGAAGAGAUCCCCAAGACCAUCAAGUCCAACCACUGUCACUGAGUCACCAGGGUUGGAAGAGACCUCAAAGGUCAUCAAGUCCAACCAUUGUCACCGAGUCACCAAGGUUGGAAGAGACCUCCAAGACCAUCAAGGUCAACCAUUGCCAACAAGUCACCAGGGUUGGAAGAGACCUCAAAGAUCAUGAAGUCCAACCAUUGUCACCGAGUCACCAGGGUUGGAAGAGACCUCCAAGACCAUCAAGGCCAACCAUUGUCAUCAAGUCCAACCACUGUCACUGAGUCUCCAGGGUUGGAAGAGACCUCAAAGGUCAUUGAGUCCAACCAUUGUCACCGAGUCACCAAGGUUGGAAGAGACCCCCAAGACCAUCAAGUCCAACCAUUGUCAACGAGUCACCAGGGUUGGAAAAGACCUCAAAGGUCAUCGAGUCCAACCAUUGUCACCAAGUCAUCAAUGUUGGAACAGACCUCCAAGACCAUCAAGGCCAACCAUUGUCACCGAGUCACCAGGGUUGGAAGAGACCUCAAAUGUCAUCGAGUCCAACCACUGUCACCGAGUCACCAGGGUUGGAAGAGAUCCCCAAGACCAUCAAGGUCAACCAUUGUCACUGAGUCACCAGGGUUGGAAGAGACCUCCAAGAUCAUCGAGUCCAACCACUGUCACCGAGUCACCAGGGUUGGAAGAGACCUCAAAGGUCAUCAAGUCCAACCAUUGUCACUGAGUCACCAGGGUUGGAAGAGACCUCCAAGAUCAUCGAGUCCAACCAUUGCCAACGAGUCACCAGGGUUGGAAGAGACCUCCAAGACCAUCAAGGCCAACCACUGUCAUCAAGUCCAACCAUUGUCACCGAGUCACCAGGGUUGGAAGAGACCUCCAAGACCAUCAAGGCCAAGACCACCCUCAUCCCCCCAAAUCCAACCACGAGGACACCACCCAGGAGCAGCAGCGAAUUCCCGCCCUUGGGAACCUCCCGUGUCCUCACAGGAGGGACUGUCCCCAAAAAUCACCGACCCCUCCGUGCCCCGAAACCCAACGAUUUUGGGACCCUUGAACCCAACGAUUUUGGGGCCCUCAGCAGC
rnacentral:lncRNA from 1 species